CAGUUAUGCACUGAGAAAAACACAGUGUCUCAAAUGCAUUAAACGGCACAAAUAUUCGUAUAUAUCAUGGUGGAUCGUUUUGAUCCAUGAUCGACAUUAAGGGCUGCUUAAGAAUAAGCAUGCACAUCAAAUUAUCCUGACUCAUUGAACCUGGAUCGAAUUAGUGAGAUUGCGUGAACUUAAAUUGUCGUUUAUGAAACCGCUGUAGUCCCAAUUGAUUUGUUAGGUUAUUUCAAGUCAGGUUUUGGACUUUAAUCCCCGAUUUUCUUACCGUCUUUUAUGAAACAGCCCCCAGGUUGUCUACAUUGGUUUGAGUAGAGUGUUAUUAACGGUUCUAUGGCACGUUUUGCAUCUUUAAUGCAUUUCCAGGUUGCUUUGUCUAAUUGGUAUGAGCACAUACUUUGUGUUUUUUGGCGAGGGGCAUUUACACUUGAUCAUUUCAUGCAUUUUUCCUUUUAAGCAAAAUAGCAAUCCACUAUGUGAUAAAAUAAAAAA